UUAAAAUAGUUCUAUUGGAUAUUAGUGAUGUACAUGAAUGCGAAUAAAUAGUACAAAAAAAAAGAUCACCAGGUUUCGCAGGAAUUCCUCGGAUGAAACCAAGGUCUUAGAUUUAUAAGGUUGCCUCAUACAGCCGAUUUAGCCACUUCCUGCCAGAUUCCGGAUAUACGUCAUCCGUAGUCGAGCUGUGGCCUAGCGUCUGCUUCACUACUGUAAGCGAGAGAAGAAAAUUUUGGAAUUUAACUAUUUUUUUUUAAUUUGUCGAGCGUUUUUAGACUCAUAAUCUUCGAAGAUGCCAGGAGCAACGUGUGCUGUUGCAAAUUGUGAUAACAGCCAUUGUAAAACAAAGUCAUUAGACAGGAAAGUCAGUUAUUUUAGAUUUCCUAAAGAUCCAAUAAUAAGAAGAAAAUGGAUCCAUAACUGUAAAAGAAAAGACAAAUUUAAUCCUGAUUCUUGUCAUGUUUGCUCUGAUCAUUUCACAGAAAAUGAUUUUGAGAGAAAUUUAAAAGCUGAAUUAUUAGGUUUAUUG